rnacentral:rRNA from 1 species
AGCGAACGUUUGCGGCGGGCUUAACACAUGCAAGUCGAACGAGAAUCCCUUCGGGGAGGAAAGUGGCGCACGGGUGCGUAACACGUGGAUAACCAACCCAUUGGUUUGGGACAACACCGGGAAACUGGUGCUAAUACCAGAUGUGUCGCAGCUGUCUUCAGGCGGUUGCGAGAAAGGCCCGCAAGGGUCGCCAACGGACGGGUCCGCGUCCCAUCAGCUAGUUGGUGAGGUAAUGGCUCACCAAGGCAAAGACGGGUAGCUGGUCUGAGAGGAUGAUCAGCCACACUGGAACUGAGACACGGUCCAGACUCCUACGGGAGGCAGCAGUGGGGAAUAUUGCGCAAUGGGCGAAAGCCUGACGCAGCCACGCCGCGUGAGCGAUGGAGGUCUUCGGAUCGUAAAGCUCUGUGGGGGGAGAAGAAGAAAGCCGGUGAAGAGCCGGCCCU